rnacentral:rRNA from 1 species
UACGAAGGUCCCAAGCGUUAUCCGGAUUUAUUGGGUUUAAAGGGUGCGUAGGCGGGCUAUUAAGUCAGUGGUGAAAGCCCCAAGCUUAACUUGGGAACUGCCAUUGAUACUGAUGGUCUUGAGUACAUUUGAGGUGGGCGGAAUGUGUCAUGUAGCGGUGAAAUGCUUAGAUAUGACACAGAACACCGAUUGCGAAGGCAGCUCACUAAACUGUAAACUGACGCUGAGGCACGAAAGCGUGGGGAUCAAACAGG